CCUACGGGUGGCAGCAGUGGGGAAUAUUGCACAAUGGGGGAAACCCUGAUGCAGCGACGCCGCGUGAGUGAAGAAGUAAUUCGUUAUGUAAAGCUCUAUCAGCAGGGAAGAAAAUGACGGUACCUGAGUAAGAAGCCCCGGCUAACUACGUGCCAGCAGCCGCGGUAAUACGUAGGGGGCAAGCGUUAUCCGGAUUUACUGGGUGUAAAGGGAGCGUAGACGGCAAUGCAAGUCUGGAGUGAAAGGCGGGGGCUCAACCCCCGGACUGCUCUGGAAACUGUUGAACUUGAGUGCAGAAGAGGAGAGUGGAACGCCAGGGGUAGCGGUGGAAGGCGUAGAUAUAUGGAAGAACACCAGUGGCGAAGGCGGCUCUCUGGUCGGCAACUGACGCUGAGGCUCGAAAGCAUGGGUAGCGAACAGGAUUAGAUACCCGGGUAGUC
rnacentral:rRNA from 1 species